AUAUCAAUGAUGAAAUAUUAACAUUGCAACACAUGCCAAUACGGCCUUUUUAGUUUCUCUAAAUUACAAUUUUACAUUUCCUGGGAGUUUCGUCCUGGAAACGUUGUUUAAUGAUGACGUGUACGCAAGACGUCACAGGUUUUUAGGAAGUAUGAGCGCUGCACACACACACAGCUAAAUGUCGUCUGCUUAAACGGCAUAAUUACACAGUAUUUUGGAGAUCUAUGUUGCCACACAAACACACAGUGAUUCCUUGUUUAAAAUUCCUGGAGGUGAAACGUUGCUAUGAAUCAGAGCGCGGUCAAGCCAACAUGAAUCAAGACGGAAUGUCAACCAGCAUGUUUCGGUGAGGAAAUUGUGGUUAAAAAGUCGCUUCUUACCGGAGAAAAGCUGAGCUUGUGUCAUCCAUGAAGCUGCCGUCGACUCCCCUGAGACAUCGGCGUCAAGACACCCAUGAAGACACCUUUCCGACUAUCAGAGAGCAAAGGAACAAGGCAGUCCGAGAGGCAGGCAGAUGAACAUCAAGGGCAGGAGAGAAGAGGCUCCGUGUUCAGGCGAGGGUCGAGAAUCGAGGAAGGCAGUCUCAUUUAAGUCUCAUCUUAAAACUCAUCUGUAUACUCUAGCCUUUAAAUAGACCUCCUUUUUAGACCAGUUGAUCUGCCGCUUCUUUUCUUUCUCCUAUGUCCCCCCCUCCCUUGUGGAGGGGGUCCGGUCCGAUGACCAUGGAUGAAGUACUGACUGUCCAGAGUCGAGACCCAGGAUGGACCGCUCGUCGGGACCCAGGAUGGACCGCUCGCCUGUAUCGGUUGGGGACAUCUCUACGCUGCUGAUCCGCUCGAGAUGGUUUCCUGUGGACGGGACUCUCACUGCUGUCUUGGAGCCACUAUGGAUUGAACUUUCACAGUAUCAUGUUAGACCCGCUCGACAUCCAUUGCUUUCGGUCCCCUAGAGGGGGGGGGUUGCCCACAUCUGAGGUCCUCUCCAAGGUUUCUCAUAGUCAGCAUUGUCACUGGCGUCCCACUGAAUGUGAAUUCUCCCUGCCCACUGGGUGUGAGUUUUCCUUGCCCUUUUGUGGGUUCUUCCGAGGAUGUUGUAGUCGUAAUGAUUUGUGCAGUCCUUUGAGACAUUUGUGAUUUGGGGCUAUAUAAAUAAACAUUGAUUGAUUGAUUGAACACAGGGGGGGAACAAAAGACGAUCUCGAAGGGGGAACACUGGUACACGGAGAUGUAACUAAGUUCCCGCGUUGAUUUUUGGGUCCACUAGACCUUUAUCCAGCACAACCUCAUCAAAUCCAGGUGAGCAGAUUGGCGUGUGGGUGCAGGAUUGUCGCUGUGUGGGUGUGCUGCGCUCAGCGUGGGCGGAGGCAUGUCCGAGCUAGCUGCCAGAGGAGAAACUGUGACAAAUACGGGUCCAAAUCCACGCCGUGACCGUUUGUUUGAAAUUAACUGAAACUGAACUGAACACGGGCAGCAGGAGUUAGUGCGUCUGCCUCACAAUACGAAGGUCCUGAGUAGUCCUGGGUUCAAGCCCAGGCUCGGAAUCUUUCUGUGUGGAGUUUGCAUGUUCUCCCCGUGACUGAGUGGGUUCCCUCCGGGUACUCCGGCUUCCUCCCACCUCCAAAGACAUGCACCUGGGGAUAGGUUGAUUGGCAACACUAAAUUGGCCCUAGUGUGUGAAUGUGAGUGUGAAUGUUGUCUGUCUAUCUGUGUUGGCCCUGCGAUGAGGUGGCGACUUGUCCAGGGUGUACCCUGCCUUCCGCCCGAUUGUAGCUGAGAUAGGCACCAGCGUCCCCCGCGACCCCCAAAAAAAAGGGAAUAAGCGGUAGAAAAUGGAAUUGGCCCUAGUGUGUGAAUGUGAGUGUGAAUGUUGUCUGUCUAUCUAUGUUGGCCCUGCGAAGACGUGGCGACUUGUCAAGGGUGUACACCGCCUUCUGCCCGAUUGUAGCUGAGAUAGGCACCGCGACCCCAAAGGGAAUAAGCGGUAGGAAAUGGAUGGAUGGAUGGAUGAAUGGAUGGAUGGAUGGAUGGAUGAACUGAACACUGAGGGUUGAAUCAGUAGUCUAAUUCUACAAACCCCACUGCAGCUUCACUGUGACAAGUAUGCCUUGCUUUUGCCCCCUGCAGAGUGGCGGGAGAUCAACCCUAGUUUUAAUGGUUUCAUCAAAUUUAUUUGGGUGAUGUUUAGGCUGCCCAAAUGUAUAGCUGUGGAGAGCCAGAAGUGGCCCAAGGGCAACCAGUUGAAUAGACUUGGCUUACUUUUGUCUGAGGCUCGAUCUUGUUUUGAUUGAGGGAAUUCCAUCCAUCCAUUUUCUACGGCUUAUUCCCUUUGGGGUUGCGGGGGGCGCUGGUGCCUAUCUCGGCUACAAUCGGGCGGAAGGCGGUGUACACCCUGGACAAGUCACUACCUCAUUGCAGGGUGAUCUUGAAAUCAAAACCAGCACGGGAGCAUUUUUUAAGUUUCGGUCUGUUGUUACAAAACACCUAAGUCCUAAAUCCACUACUGGCCAAAAACAUCUCUCUCGCAGUGUCCAUUUGAUUGAAUCAUGUGACAUAUGCCAGACUGUUUACUACAAACAUAGCCCCACGUCACAACUAUCACCAGCACAAUGGUAUGUUUUACUACUGGGAUUUUGAAGCCUGACUUUUAACAGGCCAAUGUUUAUCGAGUGGACUGGAAGUUGUGCUGCUGUGGCAACACUGAAUAUGUAUUUAGUUUUUCAUGGUGUAAGGCAGUGGUCCCCAACCUUUUUGUAGCUGCGGACCGAUCAACGCUUGAUGAUUUGUCCCGCGGCCCGGCAGGAGGGGGUCGAUUAUUUCUUUUAUUUUAUCUUAUUUUUUUUCAUGAUAAAGGGAGGUUUUUUGGGUUGGUGCACUAAUUGUAAGUGAAUCUUGUGUUUUUUAAUGAUGAUUUAAUAAAAAAAAAAUAAACAAAAUAAAUAAAUAAAAAUAAAUAAUAAUAAUAAAAAAAUAUUCUGUGGCCCGGUACCAAUCGAGUUAUCCCUUACACCGGUGGUUGGGGACCACUGGUGCAAGGGAUAACUGUUAAUAACUGUAUUGUAAAUGUAUUACUGGUUUUCCUGUGUAUCAUAUGCCUGUUAUUUUGUAGGUUGCACAAGUAGAUAUGUGGAACUCACUGAUGAAAACAAAAACUUUAAUGUGUCUUUCACAGAAAAGUUAACAAAAUGCUAAGGUAUAGAUCAUAAAUAUAUUUAAAAGAUGAAAUUUGAACAAAAGUUAAAAGUAUUCUAGUGCCAGUUGAAAUGGAUACAAGUUAAACGGUUUCAGUUGAUGUUUAGUUUAUGUAAAUUUACAAAUGUGUAAGGCUAAAAUCUGUAUCCUGUUAAGCCAUUUUUUUAGUAUGUUUGCUCAUUAGCUCUUACGUUGGUCAAUGAACCCACAGAUGUUCAAUAAAAGACUAUUUGACCAUCA